rnacentral:rRNA from 2 species
UAAAAAAAGGUAAGCUACUAAGAGCGAAUGGUGGAUGCCUUGACUGGUAAAGGCGAUGAAGGACGUACUAGACUGCGAUAAGCUACGGGGAGCUGUCAAGAAGCUUUGAUCCGUAGAUUUCCGAAUGGGGCAACCCAAUGUAUAGAGAUAUACAUUACCUAUAUAGGAGCGAACGAGGGGAAUUGAAACAUCUUAGUACCCUCAGGAAAAGAAAUCAAUAGAGAUUGCGUCAGUAGCGGCGAGCGAAAGCGCAAGAGGGCAAACCCAGUGCUUGCACUGGGGGUUGUAGGACUGCAAUGUGCAAGAGCUGAGUUUAGCAGAACAUUCUGGAAAGUAUAGCCAUAGAGGGUGAUAGUCCCGUAUGCGAAAAACAAAGCUUAGCUAGCAGUAUCCUGAGUAGGGCGGGACACGAGGAAUCCUGUCUGAAUCCGGGUCGACCACGAUCCAACCCUAAAUACUAAUACCAGAUCGAUAGUGCACAAGUACCGUGAGGGAAAGGUGAAAAGAACUGAGGUGAUCAGAGUGAAAUAGAACCUGAAACCAUUUGCUUACAAUCAUUCAGAGCACUAUGUAGCAAUACAGUGUGAUGGACUGCCUUUUGCAUAAUGAGCCUGCGAGUUGUGGUGUCUGGCAAGGUUAAGCAAACGCGAAGCCGUAGCGAAAGCGAGUCUGAAUAGGGCGCUUAGUCAGAUGCUGCAGACCCGAAACGAAGUGAUCUAUCCAUGAGCAAGUUGAAGCUAGUGUAAGAACUAGUGGAGGACUGAACCCAUAGGCGUUGAAAAGCCCCGGGAUGACUUGUGGAUAGGGGUGAAAGGCCAAUCAAACUUCGUGAUAGCUGGUUCUCUCCGAAAUAUAUUUAGGUAUAGCGUUGUGUCGUAAUAUAAGGGGGUAGAGCACUGAAUGGGCUAGGGCAUACACCAAUGUACCAAACCCUAUCAAACUCCGAAUACCUUAUAUGUAAUCACAGCAGUCAGGCGGCGAGUGAUAAAAUCCGUCGUCAAGAGGGAAACAACCCAGACUACCAGCUAAGGUCCCUAAAUCUUACUUAAGUGGAAAACGAUGUGAAGUUACUUAAACAACCAGGAGGUUGGCUUAGAAGCAGCCAUCCUUUAAAGAAAGCGUAAUAGCUCACUGGUCUAGUGAUUUUGCGCGGAAAAUAUAACGGGGCUAAAGUAAGUACCGAAGCUGUAGACUUGCACACAACUUAGAUUAUUUAAGUUUAGAAUAUGAGAAACUAAGUUAUGUUUAGUUAUAUUUUUACUGAUUUUUAUAGAGUAAAGAUAGAAAUAAAACUUAGUAAAAUCAGUAAAAAUAUUCUUAGGCUAAAGUUAAGUAGUUUAAGUUGUGUGUAAGUGGUAGGAGAGCGUUCUAUUUGCGUCGAAGGUAUACCGGUAAGGAGUGCUGGAGCGAAUAGAAGUGAGCAUGCAGGCAUGAGUAGCGAUAAUUAAUGUGAGAAUCAUUAACGCCGUAAACCCAAGGUUUCCUACGCGAUGCUCGUCAUCGUAGGGUUAGUCGGGUCCUAAGUCGAGUCCGAAAGGGGUAGACGAUGGCAAAUUGGUUAAUAUUCCAAUACCAACAUUAGUGUGCGAUGGAAGGACGCUUAGGGCUAAGGGGGCUAGCGGAUGGAAGUGCUAGUCUAAGGUCGUAGGAGGUUAUACAGGCAAAUCCGUAUAACAAUACUCCGAGAACUGAAAGGCUUUUUGAAGUCUUCGGAUGGAUAGAAGAACCCCUGAUGCCGUCGAGCCAAGAAAAGUUUCUAAGUUUAGCUAAUGUUGCCCGUACCGUAAACCGACACAGGUGGGUGGGAUGAGUAUUCUAAGGCGCGUGGAAGAACUCUCUUUAAGGAACUCUGCAAAAUAGCACCGUAUCUUCGGUAUAAGGUGUGGUUAGCUUCGUACUAGGAUUUACUCCGAAAGCGAAGAAACUUACAACAAAGAGUCCCUCCCGACUGUUUACCAAAAACACAGCACUCUGCUAACUCGUAAGAGGAUGUAUAGGGUGUGACGCCUGCCCGGUGCUCGAAGGUUAAUUGAUGGGGUUAGCAUUAGCGAAGCUCUUGAUCGAAGCCCGAGUAAACGGCGGCCGUAACUAUAACGGUCCUAAGGUAGCGAAAUUCCUUGUCGGUUAAAUACCGACCUGCAUGAAUGGCGUAACGAGAUGGGAGCUGUCUCAAAGAGGGAUCCAGUGAAAUUGUAGUGGAGGUGAAAAUUCCUCCUACCCGCGGCAAGACGGAAAGACCCCGUGGACCUUUACUACAGCUUGACACUGCUACUUGGAUAAGAAUGUGCAGGAUAGGUGGGAGGCUUUGAGUAUAUGACGCCAGUUGUAUAUGAGCCAUUGUUGAGAUACCACUCUUUCUUAUUUGGGUAGCUAACCAGCUUGAGUUAUCCUCAAGUGGGACAAUGUCUGGUGGGUAGUUUGACUGGGGCGGUCGCCUCCCAAAUAAUAACGGAGGCUUACAAAGGUUGGCUCAGAACGGUUGGAAAUCGUUCGUAGAGUAUAAAGGUAUAAGCCAGCUUAACUGCAAGACAUACAAGUCAAGCAGAGACGAAAGUCGGUCUUAGUGAUCCGGUGGUUCUGUGUGGAAGGGCCAUCGCUCAAAGGAUAAAAGGUACCCCGGGGAUAACAGGCUGAUCUCCCCCAAGAGCUCACAUCGACGGGGAGGUUUGGCACCUCGAUGUCGGCUCAUCGCAUCCUGGGGCUGGAGCAGGUCCCAAGGGUAUGGCUGUUCGCCAUUUAAAGCGGUACGCGAGCUGGGUUCAGAACGUCGUGAGACAGUUCGGUCCCUAUCUGCCGUGGGCGUAAGAAGAUUGAAGAGAUUUGACCCUAGUACGAGAGGACCGGGUUGAACAAACCACUGGUGUAGCUGUUGUUCUGCCAAGAGCAUCGCAGCGUAGCUAAGUUUGGAAAGGAUAAACGCUGAAAGCAUCUAAGCGUGAAGCCAACUCUAAGAUGAAUCUUCUCUAAGCUCUCUAGAAGACUACUAGUUUGAUAGGCUGGGUGUGUAAUGGAUGAAAGUCCUUUAGCUGACCAGUACUAAUAGAGCGUUUGGCUUAUCUUUAAUAAAGCAU